UCUUUUUCCCAAGCGAUAGCUACACGGAGAAAAGUGAGAAAAAAAAAAAAAAAACCCAGAUUGUUUUGAACAAAAAUGGCUACUUUGGAUUCUUCGAACUCUUCACCUGAAAAAACUGAUCUUGAAACUAACCCUAAUUCUAAUUCUUCAAAAGCUGUAAUCCCAAUUCCUCCCAAUUCCAAUUCCCCUGCCGUGUGCCUCUUCCAAUUCGCAGGAGACUCCGUCGCUGGUGCCUUCAUGGGCUCCAUCUUUGGCUACGGUUCCGGAUUGAUUAAAAAGAAAGGCUUUAAAGGAUCCUUUGUGGAGGCGGGAUCUUAUGCAAAGACAUUUGCAGUUUUGUCGGGUGUACACUGUUUGGUUGUUUGCUUUUUGAAGAGGCUGCGGGGAAAAGAUGAUGUUAUUAAUGCUGGUGUAGCUGGAUGUUGCACUGGACUUGCUCUAAGUUUCCCAGGUGCACCCCAGGCACUUCUACAGAGCUGUCUAACAUUUGGGGCAUUCUCAUUUGUCAUGGACGGGUUUAACAAGCAGCAGCCAGCACUGGCACAUUCAUUGUCUGUGAGAAACAAGAGCGGGUCCUACAACGGACCUCGUCCUUUAGCACUCCCUCUUUCACUCCCUAUUCCAGAUGAGCUGAAAGGAGCUUUUUCUUCUUUCUGGAAGUCCUUGGUAAAACCAAAUAAAGACAUUCAUCCUUAGAGUGGAUACUCAGACUCCAGGCUGGGAAAAAUCCAUGAUCAAAGUCUUGUAGGGAAUUCCAGGUGCUACUUUCUCCAUUGAUACAAAUGGUUUGGCUCGUGUUUCUGGUAACAUAGACCCUGGCAAAACUCUUAAACUGCUAGCAAAAGCAGGGAAACAUGCUCAGUUGUACUCGAU